UACAGAGACUGCAAGCGUUAUUCGGAUUCAUUGGGCGUAAAGCGCGUCGUAGGCGGCCCGGUAAGUCCGCUGUGAAAGUCCAGGGCUCAACCCUGGAAUGCCGGUGGAUACUGUCGGGCUCGAGUCCGGAAGAGGCGAGUGGAAUUCCCGGUGUAGCGGUGGAAUGCGUAGAGAUCGGGAAGAACAUCGGUGGCGAAAGCGCUCUGCUGGACUGCAACUGACACUCAGGGACGAAAGCUAGGGGAGCGAAUGGG
rnacentral:rRNA from 1 species